rnacentral:rRNA from 1 species
GACGAACGCUGGCGGCGUGCUUAACACAUGCAAGUCGAACGGCCCGGCCCUGCUUUUGUGGGGUGCUCGAGUGGCGAACGGGUGAGUAACACGUGAGUAACCUGCCCUUGACUUUGGGAUAACUUCAGGAAACUGGGGCUAAUACCGGAUAGGAGCUCCUGCUGCAUGGUGGGGGUUGGAAAGUUUCGGCGGUUGGGGAUGGACUCGCGGCUUAUCAGCUUGUUGGUGGGGUAGUGGCUUACCAAGGCUUUGACGGGUAGCCGGCCUGAGAGGGUGACCGGCCACAUUGGGACUGAGAUACGGCCCAGACUCCUACGGGAGGCAGCAGUGGGGAAUAUUGCACAAUGGGCGGAAGCCUGAUGCAGCAACGCCGCGUGCGGGAUGACGGCCUUCGGGUUGUAAACCGCUUUCGCCUGUGACGAAGCGUGAGUGACGGUAAUGGGUAAAGAAGCACCGGCUAACUACGUG